UACAGAGGGUGCAAGCGUUAAUCGGAUUUACUGGGCGUAAAGCGUGCGUAGGCGGCUCGCUAAGUCGGUUGUGAAAUCCCUGGGCUUAACCUGGGAACUGCAGUCGAUACUGGCGGACUAGAGUACGGUAGAGGGUGGCGGAACUCCGGGUGUAGCGGUGAAAUGCGUAGAUAUCCGGAAGAACACCGAUGGCGAAGGCAACCACCUGGGCCUGUACUGACGCUGAGGUACGAAAGCCAGGGGAGCGAGCGGG
rnacentral:rRNA from 1 species